rnacentral:rRNA from 1 species
CCUACGGGAGGCAGCAGUGGGGAAUAUUGGACAAUGGGCGAAAGCCUGAUCCAGCAAUGCCGCGUGAGUGAUGAAGGCCUUCGGGUCGUAAAGCUCUUUUACCAGGGAUGAUAAUGACAGUACCUGGAGAAUAAGCUCCGGCUAACUCCGUGCCAGCAGCCGCGGUAAUACGGAGGGAGCUAGCGUUGUUCGGAAUUACUGGGCGUAAAGAGUACGUAGGCGGUUAUUCAAGUCAGAGGUGAAAGCCCGGGGCUCAACCCCGGAACUGCCUUUGAAACUAGAUAACUAGAGUCUUGGAGAGGUUAGUGGAAUUCCGAGUGUAGAGGUGAAAUUCGUAGAUAUUCGGAAGAACACCAGUGGCGAAGGCGACUAACUGGACAAGUACUGACGCUGAGGUACGAAAGCGUGGGGAGCAAACAGGAUUAGAUACCCUGGUAGUCCACGCCGUAAACGAUGAUAACUAGUUGUUCGGUCACUUGGUGACUGAGUGACGCAGCUAACGCAUUAAGUUAUCCGCCUGGGGAGUACGGUGCAAGNUAAAACCUAGAAAGAAUGAGCGUGAGAGUUGCGAGACGACGACGAGGAGAGG